ACUGCUUGUAUAUCUCAGUAGCUUUAACCAGAAAUUUCUAGAUUAUACUACUUACUUCUGUGCACAGUCAAUAACUCUCUUCUUGUUCCUCUCUGUAAAUUUACCCAUCGAAUAGUGAAAAUCCUCUCAAGAGGUAUCCAGUGUUCAUGUCAGCAGCCAGUACAUCCCAUGUUCAUCUGCUUAGAGUGAGAAUGUCUCCACAUUAAUCGACAUUACUUUCCAACGUGGGGGUAAAUGGUCUUUCCACUGUGUGACUGAUGAUCCGCUCUGACCAGGAGCCAAGCAAUGUUCUUCUCGAUAAUGAAGUGUCUGCUUAUGUAAGUGAUUCUGGUUUGGCAAGGCUCAUGUCAAGGUUCUGUAAAGAUCAUGCACAUCAAUUUAGCUUGCUCAGUAUCAAGGGCACCACAGGAUAUGCAGCUCCAGGCAUGGAAGCCAAGCUAUCUAGUCUCAGAGAUGCGCCCAGCUAAAGAAUACUCUUGCUCUGGAGAAGGCCGGUCAUUCCAAGAUGAAUUGAAGCUGUACCAGUAUGUUAAGAUGGCAUUGUCUGAUUGUGUCCUAGAGUUGUGGACCAAAUGAUCCUGUAAGAGGUCUUGGAAGAAGGGGAAUACGUUUGCAAUUCCUAUGUUGGCAACUCAGAAAGCAAAAAUCGUAUCUUUGCUUGGAGUGGCGUGCUUGGAAGAAUCAUCAAGAAAUAACGAACAAGAGAGUCGUUGUAGUGAAUUUGCUUUCAAUCUGAGAUAAAUAUAUCUUGGAACUGAAGUGCAUGGAAGCUCCUGACAUGGAUAAUGCAAAUUUGAGCGUUCCUCAUUCGCAACUGCAACUCUUCACAUUCCAAAUUCCACCUUGUGAUGAAGUCCUGGAAUUCCAGUUUUUUUUUUCUUUAAAUUUGUCUCCUUUUGGGAAGAAAGUCUUUGCUGAGUGUGCUUGUCAGGUGGUCAUCUUAUUACAAGUGAACCUUAUGUUGAGUAGUAUUAGCAUCAUGUGCAGUAUUAUCUGUGAUUCUGGAAUAAAAAGAACCGUUUGACCGCA